rnacentral:lncRNA from 1 species
AAGAAUUGGAUCCACUUUAGUUGUUGGGAUUGAUCAUUGACACUUAGUUUCCUUUGGGUUGAUUCAAUAGAUUAGUUAUGGAGAUGGAAGACGCUUCUCACCACCAUUAUCUCUCCUUAUGAUUAAACCAAUUAGGGAACGUCCUCUAAUUAAUUACUAAUUAACAAAUUGCCAAGGAACGUCCUUGGGCCUUAGGCAUCAAAACAAUUGUCAAUUGCAUUAAGAAAUAGAGAGAUCCAAUCCUAACUACCCAAACGUAUGGAGAUAACGCUAGAUCAUACAAUUUCCUUGGGUUUUAUCCCAAGUAUUCUUAUGUAAGAAUAAUCUAAGCAAUUACGGACUUAAAUCAUCCAAACUAACAUAUUAUUACUUUGCAAUCAAGAAUCAACGUAGAUCUAAACAACAAAGCAAUAUUGAAAUCAAGCAUGAAAUUGCAUAAAUAUUGAACAACCAAAAGUUAAACAAUGUUUGAUCAAGCCUCCCAAUCCAUAAAACAAC